rnacentral:lncRNA from 1 species
UGCCGCGGAGGAGGAGGAGGGAGGAAGGGGGGAGGAGGAGGAGGAGGAGAAAGAGGAGGAGGAACCGGCCCCGGGAGCAGAAGGGGGCGUCUUCCCCGGCGCUCAGGGAGGCGCGCCCGGGGGCGGCGCGCAGCUCAGCCCCUGCUCCUCAGUCUCCCGGGUGCCUUCUUCUGGAUGGGCUUGUACCUCCGGCGCGCCGGGGUGCGCCUGCCUCUGGCUGUCGCGCUGCUGGCCGCCUGCUGCGGGGGGGAAGCGUUCGUCCAGAUUGGGCUGGGCGUCGGGGAGGAUCGCCUGCAGUCGCUGCCCGCCGCGGGGGUGGCGCUCAGCUGCCUGGCCGCCGCGACAUGGCUGGUGCUGAAGCUGAGGCUGAGGCUGAGGCUGGGCGUCCUCAUGAGCGCCUUGACUAGCGCGGUCAGGACCCUGGGCCUCUUUUCCUUGGAGUGGUUCAAGGUCGCCUGGAGACCUUACCUGGCGCACUUGGCCGGCGUGCUGGGGAUCCUCCUGGCCAGGUACGCGGAGCAGAUCCUGCCGCAGUCUCGGGGGGCGGCUCCGAGGGAGCGUCUGGGGUCCCAGGAAGAGAUCCCGGUGUUCAGGAGGCGGCGGCGCUCCAGCUCCGUGGUGUCCGGCGAGAUGUCGGGCUGUGGCGGCAAAUCCCACCGCAGGACCUCCCUGCCCUGCAUCCCCCGGGAGCAGCAAAUGAAACUUUUUCAUAACAAAGAUGCAUUUCAAAAUGUCAAGUCUGAAAAAAAGUAAAGUCAAGGUGUGUUACUUCAUAUAGCUAAUGUUUAUCAGGUAAAAAUUGUGAAACUGACUUUAACUCCUGCUCAAAUUUGUAUGGGAAAAUAUUUAGAUCUUGGUGAGAGUAUGGAGAGAACACGGUUUCUUACUCAUUCUGCUUAUUCCAGAAGGGCUUGGGGAUCACAUAGAGGUGGGGCUUCAUAGAAGAUGGGACACAUCUGCAUCACAGAAAAAGACUGUUUUGAAAUGUUCUUGACAAUGGACAGAAGAGGAAGAAGAGAAAGUACAGGAGACCAAAGGUUGGCGGAAAGCUGCAGUGUGAUUUUACCCACACCCCUCCCCCAUUCUCCACCUAUCAUUAUGUGGUAAGUCUCCUAAAUUCACGAAUGCCUGCUUCCAAAUUUUACAAGUUGUCUUUUGUAGUACAGGGGAUUGAACCCUGGGCUCUGCACGUACUGGGGAAGCACUCUGCCACUGAGCCAGCAAUAUCCGCAGCCCUUUUGCAUUGUAUAUACCAAGUGAGAAAUGGUGUGAGCUUCUUGCUGACAUUGACAUAAUGUGGGGUCAAGGCAACCCUGACAUCCUAGAAGAAUGAAGCUCAACUGGUAAUGACAAGUAGCAAGAAUCCUGGCCAAAGAGGGAAGUUGGGUCGGGAGCUUUCCGCAUGACUGAGGACAUUCAAGGCUAUUCUCCAUGUGUCCCAGGGGCCGUGUGAUGUUUCAGGCGUGCUGUACAGAGUACACCAGCCUUACUUGCCAUUAUUGUUUGGAAUAGGGCCUUUGAAGGAUUGAUUGGCUGUACAAAGCUAAAUAAAGUCCCUCUGCUUGUACACCAGAUUUAUCUCUAGAAAUACACACUUUGAACACUUCUGGGUUAGGGUGUAGUCAUUCUACUUUGUCAUCUGAUUCCAGAUAAGUUAUUGGGCAAUAAAAGGCCGAAUAUCUUGCCCUUUAUUCAUGUGACCUACAUCUGACAGGUUUUUGAACUGUACUUUGAUUGGAACAGGGGAAGGGCAGGUAUAAGAGUGUUAAACUUGUUCAGUAUUGUUGUAAGUAGUAGAACCCAAGACCAAUGAAUACAUUUUUUUUUUCUGAUCUAAAACAGAAUACUGAAAUGGUAAAGCCGCACAGUGUUGAUAAAUAGAAUAGAUAUAUUAGAUAAAUGUGUGUUCCAUGUAUCCAGAAACUUGUCAAAUUAGCCACCUUAAAGUAUGAUGGCAUUGACUUUUGGGCAUAUUUUUAUAUACUUUUCUAGUUGUCUUCCCUCCCCCCCCUCCCCCCACCAAAGUUAAACUUUUAUUUACUUUUGCCUCUGGAUGAAUGUCACUUUAAUGUUUUGUCAUUCAGGAGCCAUUUUAUACAAACAGUAGUUCUAACUUUGAUGAUAUAUUAGUUUAUGUUUUUAUACGUGUCUUUAUCAGUGUUUUAUACAUGUUUUAUACAUGUUCACAUCAGAUAACACAAGACUGAGUGUAUUCUAUGUGCUGUGAGGUUUGUUUCUUUUCAUUCCUGCCAAGUUAAUCUGUAGAAUUUAACAAUUAUACUGCCAUCUGUCUUUCAGUUUAUAACUGUGGUAUGAAAUAAGUAAACAGUGCUUGUUCCUAUGUGUGUUGCUCAGAGUUUUAUUGGUAAUAAUAAAAAAAAAGAAUGAGAGAGAGGGGAGAGAGAGAGAGAAGCAUGCUCACUUGUGCGCUUGGGAACAGAAUCUGUUUCUAACUUUUGGUAUGAACAGGAAGUGGGAGAGGUGAAGUGAAGCCUGUUUUGUGGCUGAGCCAGAGCACUCUGUGUUCCUGAGAGUGGUAUUCAGGUCUCAUGUCUGUCUAGUUUCUCAUUCCUGUGAAUAGCUGGCCUUUGAAGUCCUAAAAACAUAUAUUGGUAGCGAGCAACAUAAAGUAAGAGUGGGAAAUAUUUAGAAACCCAACCUUGGAGAAUAGUCUGUCUGGGAUAAUUUGGCUCUUGGCUGUGCUAUAUUUUCCUUUCCUAUCUAAAUUACGAAAUUUUAUAAUUCCUCCUAUAAUAAUUGAAAAGUCUCACUUGUACUUGUGACUUUACAUAGUACUAUCACUGUAUUUAUUUUUGCGUAUUAGGGUAGCACUACUCAUGUCUAGUUUAUUAACAUGACAAUCCAGCUUUUGAAGUGUCUUUUUAAAAACAAUUACAGAUGG